rnacentral:rRNA from 1 species
AGAGUUUGAUCCUGGCUCAGGAUGAACGCUGGCGGCGUGCCUAAUACAUGCAAGUCGAGCGAACGGACGAGAAGCUUGCUUCUCUGAUGUUAGCGGCGGACGGGUGAGUAACACGUGGAUAACCUACCUAUAAGACUGGGAUAACUUCGGGAAACCGGAGCUAAUACCGGAUAAUAUUUUGAACCGCAUGGUUCAAAAGUGAAAGACGGUCUUGCUGUCACUUAUAGAUGGAUCCGCGCUGCAUUAGCUAGUUGGUAAGGUAACGGCUUACCAAGGCAACGAUGCAUAGCCGACCUGAGAGGGUGAUCGGCCACACUGGAACUGAGACACGGUCCAGACUCCUACGGGAGGCAGCAGUAGGGAAUCUUCCGCAAUGGGCGAAAGCCUGACGGAGCAACGCCGCGUGAGUGAUGAAGGUCUUCGGAUCGUAAAACUCUGUUAUUAGGGAAGAACAUAUGUGUAAGUAACUGUGCACAUCUUGACGGUACCUAAUCAGAAAGCCACGGCUAACUACGUGCCAGCAGCCGCGGUAAUACGUAGGUGGCAAGCGUUAUCCGGAAUUAUUGGGCGUAAAGCGCGCGUAGGNGGUUUUUUAAGUCUGAUGUGAAAGCCCACGGCUCAACCGUGGAGGGUCAUUGGAAACUGGAAAACUUGAGUGCAGAAGAGGAAAGUGGAAUUCCAUGUGUAGCGGUGAAAUGCGCAGAGAUAUGGAGGAACACCAGUGGCGAAGGCGACUUUCUGGUCUGUAACUGACGCUGAUGUGCGAAAGCGUGGGGAUCAAACAGGAUUAGAUACCCUGGUAGUCCACGCCGUAAACGAUGAGUGCUAAGUGUUAGGGGGUUUCCGCCCCUUAGUGCUGCAGCUAACGCAUUAAGCACUCCGCCUGGGGAGUACGACCGCAAGGUUGAAACUCAAAGGAAUUGACGGGGACCCGCACAAGCGGUGGAGCAUGUGGUUUAAUUCGAAGCAACGCGAAGAACCUUACCAAAUCUUGACAUCCUUUGACAACUCUAGAGAUAGAGCCUUCCCCUUCGGGGGACAAAGUGACAGGUGGUGCAUGGUUGUCGUCAGCUCGUGUCGUGAGAUGUUGGGUUAAGUCCCGCAACGAGCGCAACCCUUAAGCUUAGUUGCCAUCAUUAAGUUGGGCACUCUAAGUUGACUGCCGGUGACAAACCGGAGGAAGGUGGGGAUGACGUCAAAUCAUCAUGCCCCUUAUGAUUUGGGCUACACACGUGCUACAAUGGACAAUACAAAGGGUAGCGAAACCGCGAGGUCAAGCAAAUCCCAUAAAGUUGUUCUCAGUUCGGAUUGUAGUCUGCAACUCGACUACAUGAAGCUGGAAUCGCUAGUAAUCGUAGAUCAGCAUGCUACGGUGAAUACGUUCCCGGGUCUUGUACACACCGCCCGUCACACCACGAGAGUUUGUAACACCCGAAGCCGGUGGAGUAACCUUUUAGGAGCUAGCCGUCGAAGGUGGGACAAAUGAUUGGGGUGAAGUCGUAACAAGGUAGCCGUAUCGGAAGGUGCGGCUGGAUCACCU